UACGUAGGGGGCAAGCGUUGUCCGGAUUUAUUGGGCGUAAAGAGCGUGUAGGCGGCUUUACAGGUCCGUUGUGAAAACUCGAGGCUCAACCUCGAGACGCCGGUGGAAACCGUAAAGCUAGAGUCCGGAAGAGGAGAGUGGAAUUCCUGGUGUAGCGGUGAAAUGCGCAGAUAUCAGGAAGAACACCCGUGGCGAAGGCGGCUCUCUGGCCCGGUACUGACGCUGAGGUGCGAAAGCGUGGGGAGCGAACAGG
rnacentral:rRNA from 1 species